rnacentral:rRNA from 1 species
AUUGAACGCUGGCGGCAUGCCUUACACAUGCAAGUCGAACGGUAACGCGGGGCAACCUGGCGACGAGUGGCGAACGGGUGAGUAAUGCAUCGGAACGUGCCCAGUAGUGGGGGAUAGCCCGGCGAAAGCCGGAUUAAUACCGCAUACGACCUACGGGUGAAAGCGGGGGACCGUAAGGCCUCGCGCUAUUGGAGCGGUCGAUGUCAGAUUAGGUUGUUGGUGGGGUAAAAGCCUACCAAGCCGGCGAUCUGUAGCUGGCCUGAGAGGACGACCAGCCACACUGGGACUGAGACACGGCCCAGACUCCUACGGGAGGCAGCAGUGGGGAAUUUUGGACAAUGGGGGCAACCCUGAUCCAGCCAUGCCGCGUGCGGGAAGAAGGCCUUCGGGUUGUAAACCGCUUUUGUCAGGGAAGAAACGCUCUGGGCUAAUACCCCGGGGUAAUGACGGUACCUGAAGAAUAAGCACCGGCUAACUACGUGCCAGCCGCCGCCGUAAAAC